rnacentral:rRNA from 1 species
GGGGUGCCUACGAGAGUAGGCCGCAGUGAAUAGGCUCAAGCAACUGUUUAUCAAAAACACAGGUCUCUGCUAAAGCGUAAGCUGAUGUAUAGGGGCUGACGCCUGCCCGGUGCUGGAAGGUUAAGGGGAAUAGUUAGCGCAAGCGAUGCUAUGAACUUAAGCCCCAGUAAACGGCGGCCGUAACUAUAACGGUCCUAAGGUAGCGAAAUUCCUUGUCGGGUAAGUUCCGACCCGCACGAAUGGCGUAAUGAUUUGAGCACUGUCUCGGCAAUAAAUCCGGUGAAAUUGUAGUGCAAGUGAAGAUGCUUGCUACCCGCGGUUGGACGGAAAGACCCCGUAGAGCUUUACUGUAGCUUAGCAUUGAAUUUCGGUAUUGUCUGUACAGGAUAGGUGGGAGACUUAGAAGCGAGGGCGUCAGCUUUCGUGGAGUCGUCCUUGGGAUACCACCCUGACAGUACUGGAAUUCUAACUGGAGGCCAUGAAUCUGGUCACAGGACAUUGCUAGG